UUUUAUGGAGAGUUUGAUCCUGGCUCAGAGUGAACGCUGGCGGCGUGCCUAAUACAUGCAAGUCGAACGAUGAAGCUUCUAGCUUGCUAGAAUGCUGAUUAGUGGCGCACGGGUGAGUAACGCAUAGGUCAUGUGCCUCUUAGUUUGGGAUAGCCAUUGGAAACGAUGAUUAAUACCAGAUACUCCCUACGGGGGAAAGAUUUAUCGCUAAGAGAUCAGCCUAUGUCCUAUCAGCUUGUUGGUAAGGUAAUGGCUUACCAAGGCUAUGACGGGUAUCCGGCCUGAGAGGGUGAACGGACACACUGGAACUGAGACACGGUCCAGACUCCUACGGGAGGCAGCAGUAGGGAAUAUUGCUCAAUGGGGGAAACCCUGAAGCAGCAACGCCGCGUGGAGGAUGAAGGUUUUAGGAUUGUAAACUCCUUUUGUUAGAGAAGAUAAUGACGGUAUCUAACGAAUAAGCACCGGCUAACUCCGUGCCAGCAGCCGCGGUAAUACGGAGGGUGCAAGCGUUACUCGGAAUCACUGGGCGUAAAGAGCGCGUAGGCGGGAUAGUCAGUCAGGUGUGAAAUCCUAUGGCUUAACCAUAGAACUGCAUUUGAAACUACUAUUCUAGAGUGUGGGAGAGGUAGGUGGAAUUCUUGGUGUAGGGGUAAAAUCCGUAGAGAUCAAGAGGAAUACUCAUUGCGAAGGCGACCUGCUGGAACAUUACUGACGCUGAUUGCACGAAAGCGUGGGGAGCAAACAGGAUUAGAUACCCUGGUAGUCCACGCCCUAAACGAUGGAUGCUAGUUGUUGGAGGGCUUAGUCUCUCCAGUAAUGCAGCUAACGCAUUAAGCAUCCCGCCUGGGGAGUACGGUCGCAAGAUUAAAACUCAAAGGAAUAGACGGGGACCCGCACAAGCGGUGGAGCAUGUGGUUUAAUUCGAAGAUACACGAAGAACCUUACCUAGGCUUGACAUUGAGAGAAUCCGCUAGAAAUAGUGGAGUGUCUGGCUUGCCAGACCUUGAAAACAGGUGCUGCACGGCUGUCGUCAGCUCGUGUCGUGAGAUGUUGGGUUAAGUCCCGCAACGAGCGCAACCCCCUUUCUUAGUUGCUAACAGGUCAUGCUGAGAACUCUAAGGAUACUGCCUCCGUAAGGAGGAGGAAGGUGGGGACGACGUCAAGUCAUCAUGGCCCUUACGCCUAGGGCUACACACGUGCUACAAUGGGGUGCACAAAGAGAAGCAAUACUGCGAAGUGGAGCCAAUCUUCAAAACACCUCUCAGUUCGGAUUGUAGGCUGCAACUCGCCUGCAUGAAGCUGGAAUCGCUAGUAAUCGCAAAUCAGCCAUGUUGCGGUGAAUACGUUCCCGGGUCUUGUACUCACCGCCCGUCACACCAUGGGAGUUGUGUUUGCCUUAAGUCAGGAUGCUAAAUUGGCUACUGCCCACGGCACACACAGCGACUGGGGUGAAGUCGUAACAAGGUAACCGUAGGUGAACCUGCGGUUGGAUCACCUCCUUUCUAGA
rnacentral:rRNA from 1 species